UUCGAUGCAACGCGAAGAACCUUACCUGGUCUUGACAUCCACAGAACUUUCCAGAGAUGGACUGGUGCCUUCGGGAACUGUGAGACAGGUGCUGCAUGGCUGUCGUCAGCUCGUGUUGUGAAAUGUUGGGUUAAGUCCCGCAACGAGCGCAACCCUUAUCCUUUGUUGCCAGCGGUCCGGCCGGGAACUCAAAGGAGACUGCCAGUGAUAAACUGGAGGAAGGUGGGGAUGACGUCAAGUCAUCAUGGCCCUUACGACCAGGGCUACACACGUGCUACAAUGGCGCAUACAAAGAGAAGCGACCUCGCGAGAGCAAGCGGACCUCAUAAAGUGCGUCGUAGUCCGGAUUGGAGUCUGCAACUCGACUCCAUGAAGUCGGAAUCGCUAGUAAUCGUGGAUCAGAAUGCCACGGUGAAUACGUUCCCGGGCCUUGUACACACCGCCCGUCACACCAUGGGAGUGGGUUGCAAAAGAAGUAGGUAGCUUAACCUUCGGGAGGGCGCUUACCACUUUGUGAUUCAUGACUGGGGUGAAGUCGUAACAAGGUAACCGUAGGGGAACCUGC
rnacentral:rRNA from 1 species